rnacentral:rRNA from 1 species
UAGUCCACGCCGUAAACGAUGCACACUAGGUCGUGGGAUCUCUCAUGAUUUCGCGGCCGAAGGUAAACUGGUAAGUGUGCCGCCUGGGGAGUACGGUCGCAAGGCUAAAACUCAAAGGAAUUGACGGGGGCUCACACAAGCGGUGGAGCAUGUUGCUUAAUUCGAGGCAACGCGAAGAACCUUACCUGGGCUUGACAUGUAUGGAUUAGCUUAUGGAAACAUAAGUGACGCCCUUGGGUGGAACAUACACAGGUGCUGCAUGGCUGUCGUCAGCUCGUGCUGUGAAGUGUCGGGUUAAGUCCCUUAACGAGCGCAACCCCUAUCGUUAGUUACUAACGCGUUAUGGCGAGGACUCUAGCGAGACUGCCGGUGUCAAACCGGAGGAAGGUGGGGAUGACGUCAAGUCCACAUGGCCUUUAUGCCCAGGGAUGCAAACGUGCUACAAUGGUACGGACAAAGCGAUGCAAUACCGCGAGGUGGAGCAAAUCGCAAAAACCGUGCCCCAGUUCGG